CCUACGGGAGGCAGCAGUGAGGAAUAUUGGUCAAUGGCCGGAAGGCUGAACCAGCCAAGCCGCGUGAAGGACGAAGGUGCCAAGCAUUGUAAACUUCUUUUGUCAAGGGACAAAAUCAGGUUCGAGAGCCUGACCGAGGGUACUUGAAGAAAAAGCAUCGGCCAACCCCGUGCCAGCGGCCGCGGUAAUACGGGGGGUGCAAGCGUGGUCCGGAACCAUUGGGCGUAAAGGGUUCGUAGACGGCACGGAACGUUUGGUGUUAAAGGCAGAGGCUCAACUUCUGUACGGAACUGGAUACUUGCGGGCUAGAAUGCGGUAGAGGUAGAGGGAAUUCCUGGUGUAGCGGUGAAAUGCGUAGAUAUCAGGAGGAACAUCGGUGGCGUAAGCGCUUUACUGGGCCGUAAUUGACGCUGAGGAACGAAAGCGAGGGUAGCAAAUGGGAUUAGAUACCCGGGUAGUC
rnacentral:rRNA from 1 species